UUAGGAAUAUUGGGCAAUGGAGGAAACUCUGACCCAGCAACGCCGCGUGAAGGAAGAAGGUUUUCGGAUUGUAAACUUCUGAUCUGUGGGAAGAAGAAAAUGACGGUACCACAGGAGAAAGCCACGGCUAACUACGUGCCAGCAGCCGCGGUAAUACGUAGGUGGCGAGCGUUGUCCGGAAUAACUGGGCGUAAAGGGAGCGUAGGUGGUUUGUUAAGUUAGGUGUGAAAGCCCGAGGCUCAACUUCGGAAUUGCACUUAAAACUGACAAACUAGAGUGCAGGAGGGGUAAAUGGAAUUUCUAGUGUAGCGGUGAAAUGCGUAGAUAUUAGGAAGAACACCAGAGGCGAAGGCGGUUUACUGGACUGCAACUGACACUGAGGCUCGAAAGCGUGGGAAGCAAACAGG
rnacentral:rRNA from 1 species